AGCCCGGGUUUGCUCCAGCAUGGAGAGAAAUAAGCCUGGCGAGCGGAAGCCCGGGGCGGUGGACUCCACUGGGAGGCCGGAUCUCCGGCCAUUCGCCACCUGCCAGUAGGGCUCAUUAACUCGAUUCCUUUCAGCAGCCAGGAGGACCCUGCUCCCCGCUUCAAAGUCCUGGGCGUGUGCUGCAGGGAGGGCUCACGCACCACUUUGCCAUCCUGGUGGGCAUCGUUCCAAAUAGCUCGGCCUUUUUAAAAGGAAUGAGUUUGCUCAAAGAAGAAUCUUCUUUUCUGACUAAAGAUAAAAUAUAUAUAUGCAUGACUUAGCUGCAUUCCUGUGUCAAAUAGCAUCGUGUCGUCUACUUCUCUGUCCCCACCCACCCGGGCAGAAGCCAUAUCUUACACAUACAGGGAUUCCUAGCUCCGCACACUGUGUCUCUCAGCUUCGAAUCCCAUCCUAUAGGAAGCCAGCCCAGAUCUUUCAGGACUGGCUUCGGUGCUUCCACUGCCUCCGUCCCCUUCUGUGGUUGCUGAUUUCUGUGCCCUUGCAACACUAGGUUGCAAAAGUCUGGUUACUUGUCUGGAUUCCACGCUGGGCCAGGGCUUCCCAUGCAGAGUCCUGGCACAGUAGAGGUGCUCAGUAAAUACUUGUUGUAAAUUGAUGAAGGACCUAAGGAUAUGCUUUUAAACUGUUACUUUGAAUGUUCGACAAUGGCCAACAGGUAUAUGCAAAUAUGCUCAACAUCACUAAUCAUUAGGGAGAUGAAAAAUCAAAACCACAGUGAGAUAUCACUUCAGACCUGUAAGGAUGGCUAUUAUUAAAAAGUCAAAAGACAACAAAUGUUGGCACAGAUGUGGGAAAAAAGGAACCUUUGUACACUGGUGGUGGGGUGUAAAUGAGUACAGCCAUUGUGGAAAACAGCAUGGAGGUUCCCAAAAAUAAAAAUAGAACUACCAUGUGAUUCAGCAAUCCCACUUCUCAGUAUACACCCAAAGAAAAUAAAAUCUCUGCUGAGAGCGGUGGCUCACACCUGUAAUGCCAGCACUUUGGGAGGCCAAGACAGGCGGAUCACUUGAGGUCAGGAGUUGGAGACCAGCCUGGCCAAUAUGGUGAAACCCCGUCUCUACUAAAAAUACAAAAAUUAGCUGGGCAUGGUGGUGCACACCUGUAAUCCCAGCUACUCGGAAGGCUGAGGCACAAGAAUUGCUUGAACCCAGGAGGCGGAGGUUGCAGUGAGCCAAGAUUGCGCCACUGCACCUCUGCCCGGGUGACAGAGUGAGACUCCGUCUCAAAAAAAGGAAAGAAAAAGAAAAGGAAAAGAACAUCUCUUUCUUGAAGGGAGAAAUGCACUUCCAUGUUCAUUGCAGUUUAUUCACAAUAGCCAAGAUGUGGAAACAUACCUAAGUGUCCAUCCACAGAUAAAUGGGUAAAGAAAAUAUGGUGUGUAUAUAUCUGCAAUGGAAUAUUAUUCAGCUCUAAAAAAGAAGGAAAUCCUGUCAUUUGCAAUAACAUCAUGAACUUGGAGAAUAUCCUAAGUGAAAUAAACCAGACACAGAAAGACAAGUACAGCAUGAUCUCAUUUAUAUGUGGACUCCUAAAAAAAAAAAAAAGAAAAAAGAAAAAAAAAAGUUUAACUUACAACAGAAAGUAGAAUGGUGGCUACCAGGGGCUGGAGAGUGGGCAAAAAGGGGACAAUAUUGGUCAAAGGCCACAAACUUUCAGUUGUAAGAGAAAUAUGUUCUGGAUAACUAAUGUAUAGCAUAUAUCAGCAAACUAUAUCGCUUGCUGAUAUAGUUAAUAAUAACGUAUUAUAUACUUGAAAUUUGUUAAAAGAGUAGAUCUCAUGUGCUCUCAUCAUACACAGAAGGUAACUAUAUGAGGUGAAGGAUCUGUUAAUUAGCUUGAUUGUGGUCAUCAUUCACAAUGUACAUGUAUGUCAGAACAUCACAUUGUCUACCUAAAUAUAGAUAAUUUUUAUUUUUCAAUCAUACCUCAGUAAAGCUGGGAGGAGGUGGGAGAGUCAAUAGACUUUCUCAGGUAACCUCAUGAAUUGUCUCAUGUUUCUCAUACCGGUGAGCCUCAAAUCCGCUAUCGCCCUAUAGCUGCCAUCCUAAUAUACACACUGAUCACCUCCCACUUUCACUAUUAUAGUAUCCUACCAACUGGUCUCCUAUUCUCCUGCCCCUACCUUCUUCAAACCAUCCAGUCCAAGAAUCUUCUGAAAGCCUGGUUUUCAUUUUAUCAUUUUUUGUAAUUAUCAGAAAAGAAAUUCAAAGGUUCUCCAUUACCUUCCAGCUAAAGUUUCUACUGAUUAACUGGAUUUCAGGGAUCUGUUUCCAGAUCUCACGGUGUUUCCAGACUCUUUCCAUAAUAUCAUAAAUCUUUUAUAAGGGAUGGAUGGCAAGGAUGUGGAGAAAAGGGAACCCUUGUACAUUGAUGGAUGGUAAGAAUGUAAAUUGGUACAGACAUUGCAGAAAGCAGUAUGGAAGUUCCCCUCACCCAAAGAAAAAGAAUAAAAAAUGGAACUACCAUAUGAUCCAGUAAUGCCACUUCUGAGUAUAUUUCUAAAUGAAAUAAAAUCUCUCUCUUGAAGAGAUAUUUGUACUUCCUCUCUAGGGUCUCACCACCCUAGCCUUCUGUACACACACUCACACUCAUGUGGACACACAUGAUAUACACAGAUACAUUCACACACCUUCACACAGAUACACAGAAACAUGCAUGCACUCAUAGGCAGGCAUACUCAUAUAUGCAUGCAUCCUAUGCUGUAGCCAUCCUGAAAUCGCUUGCUGAUUUUCCAAGGUAACAUGUUGUCUCUUGCAUCUGCUAUGUCUUUGCAAAUAAUAUUCCCUUUGCUUGUGGCACUCUUCUCCCACCUCCACUUCUCCAUCCUUUCUUCUCAACCAGUAAUGUUCAGAUCCAAGCUUAGCUCCACUGUGUUUUCCCUGAUGCUGCCUCCUCUCCUCCAGCCCUGAUAUGGGAAGGUGUCCCAUUUCUGAGCUUAGGGCUUGUUCCCAAGGCCUUUCUCUCUUCUCUGCAUGUUUCCCUGGUGAUCUCACCUACCCCAUGCCUUCAGUUACCAUCAUCUAUCUAAAGUGAUGAACACUCAGUAGAAUGCAGGGAGCAAGAGAAUCCUCGUUUUCUCCAUGAGGGAAAAGCCUCAUGGAGAGGAAAAAAGAGACUGAAAGCAAUGGGCUGUAUGUUGACUCUUUCUUCUACAGCACCAGGUUGACUUGGGUUCCAGUACUAUCUCUGCUGCUUUUCCAAUCACGUAUCCUGAAGUUGCUCAUUCAAUCCCUUUGCACAUCUAUCUCCUUGCCUUUGAAAUGAACAAAGUAAUCGCAUUCACUUUAUAGAGUUUCUGGAAGCGGGGAAGGGGGAUUAAAUGAGAUUUUUAAAAUAUACUCUGUAGGAUUUGGCACAGUGUUCCACCUUGAUAAUAACCCUAUAAACGUCUGUUAAUAGCUCCCACAUUUUUCUGUUUUCUGUAAUAAGCACUUAUUUCUUAUAGAGUCAGAAGAAAAAUAAAACAAAUGUUUCAUUAAAAA